CAUGAGGCUUUGGGAGAAGGUUUGUGGAGGAAUCGCCUCAGCAGCGGGGCUUCACGAGACCCGUCCCCAGGGCACUGAGUGAGCAAAACGGAAAGAAGUUCUAGCACACGAGUCCCAGAUACCGGCUCUGCAGGGACACGCAGGUUCGUCUGUACGCACGUCCCCCCUCUACCUGUGUAAGUCUCCAGCCUGAGCCUCUCUUCAAGCUCCCAAGUGAAAAGCAACCCAUCCAAAACACUUGGCAGUGUGUCAGUGUGUGGAAUUGUGGAGGUCUACGAAGGCAUGUAUGUUUGCUGCUUUCAAAAGUGGAGGCGGUAAAAGUAAGGCUGGUAUACCUUGCCAAAAGCACGUAAAAUCUCAGACUGUUAACUGGGAUGAGAUGCUGUGUUUCUAUCUGAGGCUCCACCAGGUUCUCUAAUAAAUGCCAUCACAUGUCAAGGAACAAUAGAUUGUGACAGAAAACUUAGAUUGACAACAGUUGAGAGCUACCA